GCUGGCGGCGCGCCUAACACAUGCAAGUCGAGCGAGAACCAGGGCUUCGGCCCUGGGGACAGCGGCGAACGGGUGAGUAACACGUGGAUAACCUGCCCUCGGCACCGGAAUAGCCCGGGGAAACCCGGAUUAAUGCCGGAUAGCCCCACAUCCCUGCGGGGAACGUGGGAAAAGGUAGCUUCGGCCUCUGGCCGAGGAUGGGUCCGCGGUGGAUUAGCUUGUUGGCGGGGUAACGGCCCACCAAGGCGACGAUCCAUAGCUGGUCUGAGAGGACGAUCAGCCACACUGGGACUGAGACACGGCCCAGACUCCUACGGGAGGCAGCAGUGGGGAAUCUUGCGCAAUGGGCGAAAGCCUGACGCAGCGACGCCGCGUGCGGGAAGAAGGCCUUCGGGUUGUAAACCGCUUUCAGGAGGGACGAAGCCACUCGGGUGAAUAGCCCAGAGGGUGACGGUACCUCCAGAAGAAGCCCCGGCUAACUACGUGCCAGCAGCCGCGGUAAUACGUAGGGGGCAAGCGUUGUCUGGAUUCAUUGGGCGUAAAGAGCGUGUAGGCGGCCAGGUAGGUCGGUUGUGAAAACUGGAGGCUCAACCUUCAGAC
rnacentral:rRNA from 1 species